UAUACUAGCGGAGGAAUUUAAGAAGCAGCUAACCCAGGAUUGCCUCAGUAACUGCGAGUGAAGCGGCAACAGCUCAUCUUGAAUCGCUUCGGCGACAUGUGAGUCACUGCCUUACGUGGGGGACGACGCGCAACUCGGCUGGAACGCCGGACCACGGAGGGUGCUAGUCCCGUACCGUGUCGACCUCUGCGGUAGGCUGUGUUGAGCGAGUCGGGCAGUUUGGGAUUGCUGUCCUAACGGGAGGUAGACUCCUUCCAAAGCUAAAUAUCGACAGGAGACCGAUAGCGAACAAGUACUGUGAAGGAAAGAUGAAAAGCACUUUGAAAAGAGAGUUAAAAGACUUGAAAUCGCUGAGGAGGAAGCAGUGCGUGCAGCGCAGGAGCCAGUGCAAGGGGACUCACGAGUCCCUGGAAGCUGUCCCGCUGCAGAGUGCAGUGGGCUCUGCGUGAGGCUCUGGGCUGUGUGUUCGGAAGUCUGCGCUCGCCCGCUGAAGGCGCUCCGGCGACUCUGCCGCUGCGCGCACUGACCCGUCUUGAAACACGGACCAAGGAGUCCAACAUGCGUGCGAGUAGGAGGGUGCACACCCCACUGCGCAACGAAAGUGAACCUGUCAAACAGGGCCGCGUCGAGCGAGCUCAGCAGGCAUGUUGGGACCCGAAAGAUGGUGAACUAUGCUUGGGAAUGGCGAAGCCAGGGGAAACUCUGGUGGAGGCUUGUAGAGAUACUGACGUGCAAAUCGUUCUUCUAACCUGAGUAUAGGGGCGAAAGACUAAUCGAACCAUCUAGUAGCUGGUUCCCUCCGAAAUUUCCCUCAGGAUAGCUGGCGCCGCACAGUUGUGCCGGGUAAAGCGAAUGACUAGAGGCAGGGAGUUGUAACAACUUUCACUUAUUCUCAAACUUUGAAUCGGCACGGAAGAGGAGUUGCUUCGCUGAACUCCUCUGCGAAUGUAGGCGCCAUGUGGGCCAUUUUUGGUAAGCAGAACUGGGCGACGAGGGCUGAACCUAAGGCGAGGUUAAGGCGACCAAUUGGCCGCUCAUCAGACCCCAGAAAAGGCGUUAGUUCAUAUAGACAGUAGGACGGUGGCCAUGGAAGUCGGAACCCGCUAAGGAGUGUGUAACAACUCACCUACCGAAUGGACUAGCCCUGAAAAUGGAUGUCGCUAAGCAGCCAGCCGAUACCUCGCUGUGCGUCUUGCAUGGACGCACAGGUAGGAGGGCGUGAGGGCCGCGGCGAAGUGCGCGUGAGAACGCGUGUGGAGCGACCCUUAGUGCAGAUCUUGGUGGUAGUAGCAAGUAUUCAAAUGAGAACUUUGAAGACUGAAGUGGAGCAGGCUUUCAUGUGAACAGCACUUGGACAUGAGUCACUCGGUCCUGAGUCCAGGGGGAGUCCCGCGAAGACACUGUCCAGGACGAAAGGGAAUGAGGUUAAUAUUCCUCAAGCAGGCGUUGGGUGCUUAGUGGCAACACAAACGAACUCAAAGACGUCGGGGCGAGGUCCCAGGGAGAGUUCUCUUUUCUUCUUAACAAGUCGCUGCCUUGGAGGUCAUUGCGACGAGAGAAGGCUACAGACUUGGAAGAGCAGCACACCCUGAGUGCUGUCUGGUGCGCCUCCCACGGCCCUUGAAAAUUUGAGGGAAGAACUGCACGCCUGACCGUACCCAAACCGC
rnacentral:rRNA from 1 species